UGAAUCCAGGAACAACUAACCGUACAAACUCAAGCAGAACACAAAGACAUCAACAGAAAUACAGAUUUUUUGCUGUGCGUUCCAGAUACAAGUACGGCAUACGAUGGCGAUGUGUUAAAGUCCGCCGAUUGAAGACAAAAAAAGUUCGCCACAACAACGAUCCUAAUGGAUUAUAUGUCAGCGUGACAACUGGCUAAGCGAAAA